rnacentral:ncRNA from 1 species
UCAGAAAAAGGCAAACCUAUUGAAAGAUAGGGACGCAAAGUUACAGAUCCGUAAUGACUCUUAUUUUGAGUGAUUGGAUGGCUGAACUGCCUGAA